rnacentral:lncRNA from 1 species
UCUUCUUCUGGAGGCCUUCAUUCAGUGUGCAGUUACGGCUUCUGCCAAGUGAAGUCGCUACUGAGCAAUGCACUCAGGUUACCAGCCUGUGUCCAGUGAGUCGCCGGAACUUCUCCAAGUUUGCGGUGGUCUUGGUACUGGACUUUGAGCCUGGGGCCUUCCAGAGCCCUGGGCAGGCAGUCUACACUGAGAAGAAUGUGGGAUGGUACAAGAAAAUGCUUGUGGAAACUUAAGAGAAGCCGGGCAUGGAGGCACAUGAAGAUCCCAUGGACACCAUCAUUCGGGAAAAUAAAAGACAUGAGAAGGACAUGAGAUCAGUUGGAUGGAGAAGAAGAAGAAGGAGAAGCACAAGAAAAGAAAGAAGGAAAAGAAAAAGAAGAAGAAGCGGAAGCAGAAGUCGUCCAAGUCGAGUGAGAGUUCGGACUCAGAGUGAGGCGGACACCUUGCCGAGCCCCUCAGGAACCCAGCACUGUGGCCUGAAUGGAGGGGACACGCGCAGAGCGGCUGGGCCAGCAGCCGGGAGGGGACAUGGGGUCUGCGGGGAUGCUCACCGCUUCCCGAAGCACACUGCGCUGUUCCCCAGUGCCAGGCCUCCUGAUGUCACACGGGAGAGCUCUUGAGUGUCCAGGAGCCUGGGACCCCUUUGCAGCCUCCAUGGGCAGCAGGCCCCAGGACUCUGGGUGGCCAUGUGGGGCUGCCCUGGCCCGGAUGCGCUGUCCUAGUGUGGUAGCUCAGUCCCAUGAUUUCAAACCUGGCCAUCUGUUGUUGAGGAUAAUAAAAGCUUGUGAUUUACUUUUCAGAUGUAGUCAUCUGUUUACAAAGAAUCCAGGCACAUGGCCCAGAUGUGAAAGCUAAGGACACUUUGGUCAUGAAAACUCACACUCCCUCCCCAAGGGCUACCAGUGUCAACAGUGUGUGAUGACAUUUUUCAGACUCAUGUCUCAGGGACAUGGAACAUUUUUCACACAGCUGCUGCACUUUCUAAGACUCAGCAAUGUAAAGUGGCCAUCCUCGCAUGUACCUCAUAAACAGCAUGGUGCUGUGUGAUACCUGACAGAAGUCUAGGCUUUCCUCCUGGGGCACAAGUCUAUCUCCCCUUUAUAUUGUGGGAUGGGCUGAUCUGAUUCAGGCUUUUGUGUAUGAUGAGGAAAGACUUGCCAAGUGCACACCCAGUAGCAAGUAGGCAAGCAGCUGGCACUGGAGUAUAGCAAUGAGAAGAAGAAAGGAGGGGCUUGGAUCCUGGGGACCUAGCAAGGAGCUGAAACAAGAAUAGAAACCCAUGAGGAGAACAAAGGAGGAGGUGGCAAGCAGUGCUUUCUCCCUGACCCCGACUCUGCAUGGGAGGGGAGGCUCAAACCUGCAAAUACACAGUCACUACUGGAACAGAUGGACUUAGUAAAUGUCUACAGAGUGUUCCUCCCCACAGUAUCAGAAUACACAUGCUUCUCAGCUACACAUGGGAUGUUCUCCAAAACAGACCACGUACUAGCUUACAGUACAUGGUUAAGUAAAUGCAAAUGAAUUGAAAUUAUCCCAUGCGUAUUUAUCAGGCCAUAGUGCAAUGAAAUUGGAAGUCAAUGGCGAAAGAAACCACAAAAACUCCAUAAAUACAUGGAAAUUAAAUAACACCCUCCUGAACAACCAAUGGGUCACAGAGGAAAUUAAAAAAAUUAAACAGUAUCUACAUUUAAAUAAUAAGGCCAAUACACCAUGUCAGAAUUUAUAGAAUGCAUGAAAGCAGUCCUACAAGAGAAAUUUGUAGCAAUGAAUUCACAUGUCAGAGAAACACAGCUCAAAUAACCUAAUGCUGAAACUCAAGCAUCUAGAAAAAGGAGCAAGUCAACCCCAAGGCUCGUGUGAGGGAGCAAAUUAUAAAGAUCAGAGCAGAAAUUAAUGCAAGCAAAACUAAGAAAAUGAUACAAAUAAUAAAAAGUUGGUUCUUUAAAACAUUAUAUACAAUUGACAAGCUCUCAGCCAACCCUAUCAAAAAAAGGAAAGAAAAACUCAAAUCCAUGCCUUUAGGAAUGAAAAGGGUGAAGUCACAACAGAUCCUGCAGAAAGUAAAAGAUCAUCAGUACCAACUUCAAGAACCUCUAUUCUAAUAAAAUGGAAAGCACAGACGAAAUGAACAAAUUCCUAGGUACAUGUGAAUAACCAAAGCUGAAUAAAAAAAGAUACGAAAAUUUGAGCUGUGUGUGGUGGUAAUGCCUGUAAUCCCAGCACUCAGGAGGCUGAAGCAGGCAGAGGAUCACUGUGAGUUCCAGGCCAGCCUGAGUUACAUAAGUCGGUUGAAGGCAGCCUGCACUACAUAGCAAGGCCCUGUCUAAAAAACAAAAAAAAAAUCUAAAUUAACCAAUAUCAGUCAAUGAAAUUGAAGAUUGAUUAAAAACCUACCAACAAAGAAAAGCCCCAGGCACUGAUGGAUUCACUGCUGAAUGCUACAAGAAAUUUAGAGAUCUAAUGCUUUAAUGCCACUACUUUUCAAACUCGGUAAUGAAACUGAAAGGGAAGCAAAACUCUCAAAUUCAUUCUGGGAGAAAGCAUUACCUUGAUACCAAAACUAGAGAAGGAUCCAACCAAGAGAACUACAGGCCAGUCUCCCUAAUGAACAUAGACAUAAAAAUCCUCAAUAAGAUACUGGCA